rnacentral:lncRNA from 1 species
CUGCUCUUGUUGUGUGAUUGAAAUGUGCUUGUCAGUGUCACUUGGUCCGUGUGGGCGGUCAGAGGACAGUGCUGCUUACUUCCUGUCCAUCGAGGAGUGUGGAGUAGACGCAGUGUUUACAGUGUACUGGAGUGGUGAGAGCUGCCGAGCCUGUGCUGAACAGCAAGGCACUCAGUAGCCGUGCUGGUGUUUAGUGUAUCUCUGUGGGCUGCAGGGUAAGCCCCAGUGCAGAGCUCUCAGGGAGAGCUGGGAUUGGUAGCAGCAGGGCCGGAGGCUUCCCCAUACACUUCUGUAGUGUUGAUGUGUCUUAUCAACCACAACGGUUUUAUUUUUUUAUAACAAUAAAAAUUCCCCACCUCACCCUAUUCCUGGUGGUAAUGUCAUUUAAUAUAUUGUGCAGUAUGUUCCUUGAUGACCUAGUGGUAUAAUCUCUUUGUUCUAAUUGAAGUUUAAAUUCCUGACAGUACAAAACUACGAACGUUCAGUACUUUGACUGGUAUUGAAGUUUUUACUGCUUAACUUAUCUUGGCAACUCAUUGUACUAUGAUAUGAGAAAAUGAUGCAUGUAAAGAAAGUCUAAUGCCAUUUACAUAAGUACUGCUUGGUUAUUAAGGAAGAACGCAGCUUCUUAAGUAAUGUGUAAGAAAUAACUAAAUUCAUCUAACUAAUGCAGAUGAAGGGGCUCUUAACCUUCUGAAAGAGUUAGGCCCGUCUGGGAUUGAAACGGAGCUGCGGAACUUGUCUCCUGAGGACGGCGGGUCAAUAGAGGCCAUGCGGAGCUUUUUGAGUAUGAUCGGGGUGAUGCUGGACAGAAAGCGUGAUUUCGAGCUGGCCCAGGCGUACCUUGCAUUGUUUCUGAAGGUGAGUGAUGUGCGAUACUUUCCUUUCUGGGUGGCACUGACAGGAAACAAUAUUCUGCAAAGAUGGACGUGUUCUGAUCCGCAGUCUUGGGUGAGCUCAUGGACACGUGACAUGUGACUAACUGAGCAGAAGCUGCCUGGCCUGCUGUCUGCCACACUGACGUGGCGGGGCCUUUGGAGCUUUGCAGUCUUUAUUUUUGUUCUUACUCAGUGACAUAAUUGUGACUUUGUCCCUACUUGUCAUCUCUUUGUUACCUGUGCUGAACCUUAACCUUUGACGUUUACAUUUUCCUUCUUAAGUUUUCUGUGCUCACGAGGGAGAGUUGGGCUCUUUUGUUUGUUCAUUUUUGUCUGCUGCUGAAAUCGACAUGUCCACCUCCAGCAGCCCCGAGUGGCGUGGCACAGCGUGAUGCUCUUUGUAAGCCCUCUGUGCGGUG